rnacentral:lncRNA from 1 species
GUUUGGGUCUUUGAGAGGUUUACCGUGAUUUAAAUACAGAAAUACUCUGAUAUGCAAUUUCGCACUUCGUUUUCUCUUGAUAUGUCGUAUAAACGUGUAAACAAAAAGAAAAACAUGAUUUCAGUGGAGUGGGCCUCUAAAUACUCUGCUCAAGGUGAUAGAAGUCUUCAUUCUGAUACGUCAAGUGCACAGUUCCCCACCUGCAGAUACUACACAUCACUGCCAUUCCCUCUCCAACUGUGUUACGACCCAGUAUGCCUCCAUGCCCUACACACUACAGACAAAAUCCAAUCUAUGCAAGACAUAGAUAUUCAGACUAUAGCGGCACAGUAUGUAAGUGAAAGUGUAAGAGAGAGAAAGAGAGGGGUAAUGAGAGAAGGACAUCCCCGUUAAAAUAAUCACUUCAAGUGCUCUGCAGACAUGUCAGUCUGAGAGGCAGUCUAGACAGAUCGGCAUACUCUUAUAUACAUUUACCUCCCAACACUCUGCAGCUCGGCCUUCAUACCAUCUUUCUUUUCUUGCCCCCUUCUUCUCCUGAGUUUUCCUCUGCAAAUACUACAACUGAAUUCAUUCAGGGCCAAAUUCCCUCCAUCUCUGAGCCAUCAGGGUAAUUAAAAAGAAAGCACUGGAAAAUAAACAGGCGCCUUAUCGCGGGGGCAAACAGAUGAUAAAACAACUAGUUUUCAAUUGAAGUUUCACAGUUUGUUAAUUUUUUUCACCUAAUGAGGUCAAAUGUUGCUUUUGGGAAAUAUCAAAAUGACAGAACUAAAUGAGGCUGAAUUACCAACAAGCUAAACAAUGAAGAGUUUUGUCUGCACAGAAAAUGACCUUUUCUGUAAAAUACGACAAUGUCAAAUUAUGUACUUUUUUUUUUAUCACUCGCUGGAUCUAAUCAGGUCUUCAUCUCUUCGUGCAGACAACCUCUCCAUGUGCUUUGUUGGCCUUUGGAUGAAGAUAAAUCUUGUCUACCACUGCAGUGUGCUUUACUUUCAUUGAUAGUAGUGUGGUUAGUCAGACAGACUAUUAGGCACCGAGAGUAAUCCCUGACAUUCCUCUGAAGAACAUUAUUCAAACUCAGGCACUCGAGACAGAAGUACAAAACUAAUUACCAGAGAAGAUUGUUUCACGGCUUUGUUGUUGGGAAGCACCGACAUACUCGAGGCCUUCCUCAUAAUAUAAUGAGGGAGAAGGUAAAAACAGUGUGACAGUCUCUGUAAGUGCUACCUGUCAUUACUAUACGGGGGGAGAUAGCGUGAGAAAAAAACAACCUCACUCCUGUGUUUUGUCCUAAAAAAUAACAGAUUUCAUAAAUAUCUUCAAAGAGUGUGGUGGCUUUCCUUCUGCAUGUUAAACAGAAAAACGUCUUAGUGUGCGCUUCUGUUAUCUGACCUCAUUUAAAGCAGGGAAAUUUCUGCAGUGGUUGUUCUUUGAAGUUAACAUCUGCCAAAUGCACAAAGACAAGGAACAGUGUUAAACUGUGAGCAUCUUUUUCUACACGAUCAGCAUAAACGUAUGUAAGAAAAGGCAUGGCUAUAUACGCGCUUAUCUUCUUCUUAAUGAAUCUACUCUCCUGCAAGCUGCAGGAAUAUUGCUUACUGUUGUGAUUUUUCCUUUUCCUUUGGGUAGUGUUCGGUUUAGAUAAAGUAAAGCAGCAAAUUGUUAUAUUUGAGAAGUCUAAUGCAGGGAAUAAAUAUAGAAAAACUGUGUUAGGGGCCAGAUUCCCCAUUGACAUAGUAAAAUUUUGAUCAUAUUAUGCUACAUUUAAGCAAAGAAAAGGUCGCUUCUUUUGGAGUUGAUGG